rnacentral:lncRNA from 1 species
CUGGAAAAUGAGGGUAUAUUGGAUAGGGACAGAAAUUGCCUUGCAUCAGGCCACCUACGGACCCCUCAAAGAGUUGUUGCAAGGGUUCUUAACGUGCAAAGAGCGUGGCACUCUCUUUACACGAGGCAUCGGAUUUAACGUCCCCUUCUGACGGACGUGACUGCGAACUUGAUACAUCCCGCACAGCCAAACGGACGCCCCACUUCAGCAAGCG